UAUUUUCUUCUGAGAGACAACCCAUGAAGCCAGGCUUGCCGGCCGCCCUUCCUUCAGCCCUCCGUCCUGUUAGAACGUUAUAUGAGAAUGGGCGCUGCCCAUGACUGUUUCGUGGGAGCAGGUGGACGGCUGCGUCUGGCGAGAGUCUCCAGACUAGCUCGACUGUUCCCAAGCUGCGCUUGUCCGGAGCCGGGGCCGCUGAUGCGGGGGGCUCAUUGUUGGACUCAAUGGUGUCUGCUGCUAUUUGGCAUUAGUCUCGUGAUCUGAAACCUGACUUAUUCUGGAAAUUACUAUUUCUUUUCAUUUCUCAUCAUGGAGUCUAA
rnacentral:lncRNA from 1 species